AUUGAACGCUGGCGGCAGGCUUAACACAUGCAAGUCGAGCGGGGUGAUGGUGCUUGCACUAUCACUUAGCGGCGGACGGGUGAGUAAUGCUUAGGAAUCUGCCUAUUAGUGGGGGACAACAUCUCGAAAGGGAUGCUAAUACCGCAUACGUCCUACGGGAGAAAGCAGGGGGUCACUUGUGACCUUGCGCUAAUAGAUGAGCCUAAGUCGGAUUAGCUAGUUGGUGGGGUAAAGGCCUACCAAGGCGACGAUCUGUAGCGGGUCUGAGAGGAUGAUCCGCCACACUGGGACUGAGACACGGCCCAGACUCCUACGGGAGGCAGCAGUGGGGAAUAUUGGACAAUGGGGGGAACCCUGAUCCAGCCAUGCCGCGUGUGUGAAGAAGGCCUUAUGGUCGUAAAGCACUUUAAGCGAGGAGGAGGCUCUUUUGGUUAAUACCCAAGAUGAGUGGACGUUACUCGCAGAAUAAGCACCGGCUAACUCUGUGCCAGCCGCCGCUGUAA
rnacentral:rRNA from 1 species